AUGAACGCUGGCGGCGUGCCUAAUACAUGCAAGUCGAGCGAACGGACGAGAAGCUUGCUUCUCUGAUGUUAGCGGCGGACGGGUGAGUAACACGUGGAUAACCUACCUAUAAGACUGGGAUAACUUCGGGAAACCGGAGCUAAUACCGGAUAAUAUUUUGAACCGCAUGGUUCAAAAGUGAAAGACGGUCUUGCUGUCACUUAUAGAUGGAUCCGCGCUGCAUUAGCUAGUUGGUAAGGUAACGGCCUACCAAGGCAACGAUGCAUAGCCGACCUGAGAGGGUGAUCGGCCACACUGGAACUGAGACACGGUCCAGACUCCUACGGGAGGCAGCAGUAGGGAAUCUUCCGCAAUGGGCGAAAGCCUGACGGAGCAACGCCGCGUGAGUGAUGAAGGUCUUCGGAUCGUAAAACUCUGUUAUUAGGGAAGAACAUAUGUGUAAGUAACUGUGCACAUCUUGACGGUACCUAAUCAGAAAGCCACGGCUAACUACGUG
rnacentral:rRNA from 1 species